GCUUUUCUCCUGCCUGUAGUUCUCAGUUUGCUAGCUAGUUUCUGGACUUCCAGGAUUGGCGGGGGCAGGUAGGGAGUUUGGGACAAGGGAAUUAGCAAGGUGGGUUUCCCACUCUCCAAGCCUGGCCAGUGUUUGAUGUGAACCCUUUCCCUUGUUGGGUGUUGUGGUGGGUUCUUCAGAGACCCCCACUAUUGGCCAUCCCUCCUGCAAUUCUCGGGGCAUGUGAAGAUAUAUCUUUAUUCUAGGAGGUCCCUCUGGAUUUCUUUCUAAGACCCUAGCAAUCCAAUGCCCACUUCCAGCUUUUUGCUGCUGGCGUCUCUCUGCCUCUCUAGGUGGUCCUAUGAGACAGCACCCAAGUUGACCACAUGCCAGCUCUCUCUUCUGAGUGACCACAAUUGGUCCACAGGACACACUCUACCCAAGAAACCCCACACAACCAGAUCAGUCCCCCGUGCCCCUCCACCCCACUGUCACAGCCCACUGUCAGUGUCAAAAGCACAAAGCUGGGACCCAUCAUGUGUUGUUUCCUGACUGUAUUUCAGGACACUCCGGGCGGUCCACAUAAGCCUGCUUCACUGGGCUUGAGAUGAAGGAGAUGCACCGGUAGCCCUUCUUUCCUUGGGGUGUUAAGGGGACACUCACAGCUCAUUAACAGCUCUUUACAAAAAAAAAAAAAACCUCUUUACCUAUGUUUCCCCGCCACAUCGCCCUCCAACCCCUUUUCAUAUCCUUGAGCUGAGUGAGGCAUCCAAGAAUGAAGCAGCCAGGUCUCGAAAUGUCCUUUGUGAAUUCUGGAUAAGGGGGCUUGUUCCACAUUCACGCGGGUAUCUGAUAUCUCUCAUACUGGUGCCUUAGCUAAAGCAGAGGCAGAAAGAAUCCCAUCCUAGUAUCUUAUUCCAUAAACAAUAGAGAAAAAGGUAAAAGUGUGCAUUUCAGUUGUCUAGUGCUGCUUAGCACCCUGAAACUGAGUGGUUGAAGACACCACUGGUGUAUCAUUUCUCGUGCUUCUGUGGGUCGGCUGGGUCACUCGUCCGCUGGUUUCACCGGGGCCUGCUUCUGCAGCUGCACCGAGCUGGAGGGUCAGCCAUCGCUCCCGUGGCUGGCAUUUAGUGCUGACUGGUGGCAGGGUGCCUCGGGCCAUGUUCUUAUGGCUUCUCAUUAUCUGGUAGGCCAAACAAGCUUCCUUUCAUGGUGAUCUGGGCAACAUUUCAAGAGACCUGAGCAGAAGCUCUAAGGCCUCUGGAGGCCUCGGCUCUGGAAAUCACACAGCAUCACUAUCAUACACUUUCUUGGCCAAAGCAAAACCACAAGACCAGCCUAAACUCAAUAGGUGGGAAGAAAAGACUCUGCCAUUAGCAUUUACAGUCUUUGGCUCUCCCUGGUUCACUCACUACAGGGCUUUCUGUCUCGGCCAGCUCGAGCAGAUGUGGGGUGGAGGGAUUAAAAUGAGUCUCUGUUGGUUUGAUGGGCUUCUAUUUGAAAGGAUGGAAAGGAAGGGAAAAGAUCCAGAAGGUAAGAGCCAGGGGAAGAAAGCAGAGCCAACUGAGGGGUGCUUUGGGGAAGCAUUCCAGGGGGAUGGACCACAGGCUGGGAACCAGGAGCCAUUGGUGUAGAGAACAGGCCAGGCUGGUUUUUCCAUUCAUGACGGUAGAGGCAGUCAAUAUCUCUGUGUGAAUUGGGGGGGGGGGGGGUGAGAUCUUCUGGAACUUAAUGUGAAAACGGACUUUACUGUAGAUUGGAUUCCUCCUCUCCCACCUGCCCUCUUGGACACAUUUUCCACCCCCCCAUCCUUCCUCUCCUCUGAUAUGUUCAUAGGGAAGGUGAGUCCCAGGAGAGGUGCGGGGUACUGGCGAACAGCCCUGUCCUCAGGUGUGAGGCUUCAGGAAGAGGUGAAUGGGAGAAGCUAGGAGACCCAGGCGAUUGGCUGCCCUAUUGCUGUGCUGCGGGCUGCAGAUUCGAUGCUCAGAAUUUUCAUUUUUUAAAACCAUUUCUAAAGCCUUGAAAUGUCAUUGUGUUAUGUGUGUUUAUCUAGAGUCUAAAUGGAAAGGGCCUGUGUUUCCCAUCAGAUGCCCCUGGAGGAAGGGAACAGAGGCUGAUGACAUUGGAAGGGCAGGUCACUUUGCCGAGAAGCGAAGUGCUUGGGGCUGGUUUUCAGCUACAGAGGAGCACCUGAUACAGCAUUGAACAAUUGCUGGGUAUAUUUGACAAAUCGGGAACCGAGUUCAUUAGGGAGUUGGGGAACUUAAAAUCAGGCUGCUUGCAGGAAAAUGUAUGAAGGGAUUAUGCCGUGCAGCCACCAGUAAUUAAAGCACCAGGAACCCGGGCUGAAUGGACGAUCUUCCGCCUGAAUGGAACCUGCAUGGACUGAGAAAAACUUUCUUGAGUCACAGUGACUUAGGAGGGAAAUCGUUUGUGAUAAACAGAAUGGAUGGAAAAAAAUGAACAUCCAGAAUCUCUAGGGAACGAAACCAAAUCCACAAGGGCAAUACUAUUUCUACUGCAUUCGUGGUCAAAGAAAAUCUGAGCAUGUCCUUCACACAAGAGGCAAUAGAAAUAGAAAACAAAUCUGUGGAAAAGAAUUCAUCCUCCCUAGUAAUUAUAGGAACUUAAAGCACAAAGUCACGCAAUGCCAGUUAAACUGGUAAAAGCAAAUUAUGAUUACAAAAUCAAAAUCUGGCAAGGCUUUUGAGAAAGCUGUAUUCUCCUAGUAACAUAAAUUAAUACAAUAUUUCUGGAAAGCAACAUGGCAAAGUGUAAUGAGCCAUGAAAUAUCACAUCUUUGGGCCUAGUAAACAUAUGCUUGAGACCGUAUUCUGAAUAAAUAACUCAAAAAAAGAAAAAUCAUGGGGCAGAUAAGAGACAAAAAGAAAAAAAUGGAAAAAAUACCAAAAAAUGAUGAAAUAAAAGCAUAUUAUGAUAUAUAAUGAAAUAUAGUAUUACUAUUAAGAAUGUUACAUUUGUGUAUGAUGAAAGGAAUAGAAAUGUUGAUAUAAAAUAAUGCUAAGUGAAAAAUAGUUAAGCCCAAAUUUUGUGAAUAUUGACUAUAAGUAUGU